UACGUAGGGGGCAAGCGUUGUCCGGAAUCAUUGGGCGUAAAGCGCGUGUAGGCGGCUGGGUAAGUCCGCUCUGAAAGCCCGGGGCUCAACCCCGGGAGGCGGGUGGAUACUGCUCAGCUUGAGUCCGGAAGAGGAGUGUGGAAUUCCUGGUGUAGCGGUGAAAUGCGCAGAUAUCAGGAAGAACACCAACGGCGAAGGCAGCUCGCUGGGACGGUACUGACGCUGAGACGCGAAAGCGUGGGGAGCGAACAGG
rnacentral:rRNA from 1 species